CUGCCAGUGAUAAACUGGAGGAAGGUGGGGAUGACGUCAAGUCAUCAUGGCCCUUACGACCAGGGCUACACACGUGCUACAAUGGCGCAUACAAAGAGAAGCGACCUCGCGAGAGCAAGCGGACCUCAUAAAGUGCGUCGUAGUCCGGAUUGGAGUCUGCAACUCGACUCCAUGAAGUCGGAAUCGCUAGUAAUCGUGGAUCAGAAUGCCACGGUGAAUACGUUCCCGGGCCUUGUACACACCGCCCGUCACACCAUGGGAGUGGGUUGCAAAAGAAGU
rnacentral:rRNA from 1 species